GACGAACGCUGGCGGCGUGCUUAACACAUGCAAGUCGAACGGAAAGGCCCUGCUUUUGUGGGGUGCUCGAGUGGCGAACGGGUGAGUAACACGUGAGUAACCUGCCCUUGACUUUGGGAUAACUUCAGGAAACUGGGGCUAAUACCGGAUAGGAGCUCCUGCUGCAUGGUGGGGGUUGGAAAGUUUCGGCGGUUGGGGAUGGACUCGCGGCUUAUCAGCUUGUUGGUGGGGUAGUGGCUUACCAAGGCUUUGACGGGUAGCCGGCCUGAGAGGGUGACCGGCGACAUUGGGACUGAGAUACGGACCAGACUCCUACGGGAGGCAGAAGUGGGGAAUAUUGCACAAUGGGGGGAAGUGUGAUGCAGCAACGCCGCGUGCGGGAUGACGGCCUUCGGGUUGUAAACAGCUUUCGCCUGUGACGAAGCGUGAGUGACGGUAAUGGGUAAAGAAGCACCGGCUAACUACGUG
rnacentral:rRNA from 1 species